UACGUAGGUGGCAAGCGUUGUCCGGAUUUACUGGGCGUAAAGAGCGCGCAGGCGGUCGUUCAAGUCGCGUGUAAAAGCCCCCGGCUCAACUGGGGAGGGUCACGCGAUACUGAUCGACUCGAAGGCAGGAGAGGGUAGUGGAAUUCCCGGUGUAGUGGUGAAAUGCGUAGAUAUCGGGAGGAACACCAGUGGCGAAGGCGACUACCUGGCCUGUUUCUUGACGCUGAGGCGCGAAAGCUAGGGGAGCAAACGGG
rnacentral:rRNA from 1 species